rnacentral:ncRNA from 2 species
AUACGUUUAAAACUCCGAGUUUUAUUGGCUAAGUGCCCUGCAUAAGCUGGUAAAACCGACGGGUUGACGCGGAAACGCU